GAUGAACGCUAGCGGGAGGCCUAACACAUGCAAGCCGAGCGGUAUUGUUUCUUCGGACAUGAGAGAGCGGCGUACGGGUGCGUAACACGUGUGCAACCUGCCUUUAUCUGGGGGAUAGCCUUUCGAAAGGAAGAUUAAUACUCCAUAAUAUAUUGAACGGCAUCGUUUAAUAUUGAAAGCUCCGGCAGAUAGAGAUGGGCACGCGCAAGAUUAGCUAGUUGGUGAGGUAACGGCUCACCAAGGCGAUGAUCUUUAGGGGGCCUGAGAGGGUGAUCCCCCACACUGGUACUGAGACACGGACCAGACUCCUACGGGAGGCAGCAGUGAGGAAUAUUGGUCAAUGGGUGCAAGCCUGAACCAGCCAUCCCGCGUGAAGGACGACUGCCCUAUGGGUUGUAAACUUCUUUUGUAUAGGGAUAAACCUACCCUCGAGAGGGUAGCUGAAGGUACUAUACGAAUAAGCACCGGCUAACUCCGUG
rnacentral:rRNA from 1 species